rnacentral:tRNA from 1 species
UCCCUGGUGGUCUAGUGGUUAGGAUUUAGCACUUUCACUGCUAUAGUCUGGAUUCAAUCCCUGGCCUGAGAA